rnacentral:rRNA from 1 species
UACGUAGGGGGCAAGCGUUGUCCGGAUUUACUGGGCGUAAAGCGCGCGUAGGCGGAAGCGCUAGUCCGGCCUGAAAGCCCCCGGCUCAACCGGGGAGAGUGGCUGGAAACUGCGUUUCUUGAGGCGAGAGAGGAGGGUGGAAUUCCUGGUGUAGCGGUGGAAUGCGCAGAUAUCAGGAAGAACACCAACGGCGAAGGCAGCUCGCUGGGACGGUACUGACGCUGAGACGCGAAAGCGUGGGGGAGCGAACAGG